rnacentral:rRNA from 1 species
GGUUAAGCGACUAAGCGUACACGGUGGAUGCCCUGGCAGUCAGAGGCGAUGAAGGACGUGCUAAUCUGCGAUAAGCGUCGGUAAGGUGAUAUGAACCGUUAUAACCGGCGAUUUCCGAAUGGGGAAACCCAGUGUGUUUCGACACACUAUCAUUAACUGAAUCCAUAGGUUAAUGAGGCGAACCGGGGGAACUGAAACAUCUAAGUACCCCGAGGAAAAGAAAUCAACCGAGAUUCCCCCAGUAGCGGCGAGCGAACGGGGAGCAGCCCAGAGCCUGAAUCAGUGUGUGUGUUAGUGGAAGCGUCUGGAAAGGCGCGCGAUACAGGGUGACAGCCCCGUACACAAAAAUGCACAUACUGUGAGCUCGAUGAGUAGGGCGGGACACGUGGUAUCCUGUCUGAAUAUGGGGGGACCAUCCUCCAAGGCUAAAUACUCCUGACUGACCGAUAGUGAACCAGUACCGUGAGGGAAAGGCGAAAAGAACCCCGGCGAGGGGAGUGAAAAAGAACCUGAAACCGUGUACGUACAAGCAGUGGGAGCACAGAGCAAUCUGUGUGACUGCGUACCUUUUGUAUAAUGGGUCAGCGACUUAUAUUCUGUAGCAAGGUUAACCGAAUAGGGGAGCCGAAGGGAAACCGAGUCUUAACUGGGCGUUAAGUUGCAGGGUAUAGACCCGAAACCCGGUGAUCUAGCCAUGGGCAGGUUGAAGGUUGGGUAACACUAACUGGAGGACCGAACCGACUAAUGUUGAAAAAUUAGCGGAUGACUUGUGGCUGGGGGUGAAAGGCCAAUCAAACCGGGAGAUAGCUGGUUCUCCCCGAAAGCUAUUUAGGUAGCGCCUCGUGAAUUCAUCUCCGGGGGUAGAGCACUGUUUCGGCAAGGGGGUCAUCCCGACUUACCAACCCGAUGCAAACUGCGAAUACCGGAGAAUGUUAUCACGGGAGACACACGGCGGGUGCUAACGUCCGUCGUGAAGAGGGAAACAACCCAGACCGCCAGCUAAGGUCCCAAAGUCAUGGUUAAGUGGGAAACGAUGUGGGAAGGCCCAGACAGCCAGGAUGUUGGCUUAGAAGCAGCCAUCAUUUAAAGAAAGCGUAAUAGCUCACUGGUCGAGUCGGCCUGCGCGGAAGAUGUAACGGGGCUAAACCAUGCACCGAAGCUGCGGCAGCGACGCUUAUGCGUUGUUGGGUAGGGGAGCGUUCUGUAAGCCUGCGAAGGUGUGCUGUGAGGCAUGCUGGAGGUAUCAGAAGUGCGAAUGCUGACAUAAGUAACGAUAAAGCGGGUGAAAAGCCCGCUCGCCGGAAGACCAAGGGUUCCUGUCCAACGUUAAUCGGGGCAGGGUGAGUCGACCCCUAAGGCGAGGCCGAAAGGCGUAGUCGAUGGGAAACAGGUUAAUAUUCCUGUACUUGGUGUUACUGCGAAGGGGGGACGGAGAAGGCUAUGUUGGCCGGGCGACGGUUGUCCCGGUUUAAGCGUGUAGGCUGGUUUUCCAGGCAAAUCCGGAAAAUCAAGGCUGAGGCGUGAUGACGAGGCACUACGGUGCUGAAGCAACAAAUGCCCUGCUUCCAGGAAAAGCCUCUAAGCAUCAGGUAACAUCAAAUCGUACCCCAAACCGACACAGGUGGUCAGGUAGAGAAUACCAAGGCGCUUGAGAGAACUCGGGUGAAGGAACUAGGCAAAAUGGUGCCGUAACUUCGGGAGAAGGCACGCUGAUAUGUAGGUGAAGUCCCUCGCGGAUGGAGCUGAAAUCAGUCGAAGAUACCAGCUGGCUGCAACUGUUUAUUAAAAACACAGCACUGUGCAAACACGAAAGUGGACGUAUACGGUGUGACGCCUGCCCGGUGCCGGAAGGUUAAUUGAUGGGGUCAGCGCAAGCGAAGCUCUUGAUCGAAGCCCCGGUAAACGGCGGCCGUAACUAUAACGGUCCUAAGGUAGCGAAAUUCCUUGUCGGGUAAGUUCCGACCUGCACGAAUGGCGUAAUGAUGGCCAGGCUGUCUCCACCCGAGACUCAGUGAAAUUGAACUCGCUGUGAAGAUGCAGUGUACCCGCGGCAAGACGGAAAGACCCCGUGAACCUUUACUAUAGCUUGACACUGAACAUUGAGCCUUGAUGUGUAGGAUAGGUGGGAGGCUUUGAAGUGUGGACGCCAGUCUGCAUGGAGCCGACCUUGAAAUACCACCCUUUAAUGUUUGAUGUUCUAACGUGGACCCGUAAUCCGGGUUGCGGACAGUGUCUGGUGGGUAGUUUGACUGGGGCGGUCUCCUCCUAAAGAGUAACGGAGGAGCACGAAGGUUGGCUAAUCCUGGUCGGACAUCAGGAGGUUAGUGCAAUGGCAUAAGCCAGCUUGACUGCGAGCGUGACGGCGCGAGCAGGUGCGAAAGCAGGUCAUAGUGAUCCGGUGGUUCUGAAUGGAAGGGCCAUCGCUCAACGGAUAAAAGGUACUCCGGGGAUAACAGGCUGAUACCGCCCAAGAGUUCAUAUCGACGGCGGUGUUUGGCACCUCGAUGUCGGCUCAUCACAUCCUGGGGCUGAAGUAGGUCCCAAGGGUAUGGCUGUUCGCCAUUUAAAGUGGUACGCGAGCUGGGUUUAGAACGUCGUGAGACAGUUCGGUCCCUAUCUGCCGUGGGCGCUGGAGAAUUGAGGGGGGCUGCUCCUAGUACGAGAGGACCGGAGUGGACGCAUCACUGGUGUUCGGGUUGUCAUGCCAAUGGCACUGCCCGGUAGCUAAAUGCGGAAGAGAUAAGUGCUGAAAGCAUCUAAGCACGAAACUUGCCCCGAGAUGAGUUCUCCCUGACUCCUUGAGAGUCCUGAAGGAACGUUGAAGACGACGACGUUGAUAGGCCGGGUGUGUAAGCGCAGCGAUGCGUUGAGCUAACCGGUACUAAUGAACCGUGAGGCUUAACCUU